UACGUAGGCGGAAGAUUAAGUCAGUAGUGAAAUCCUGCAGCUUAACUGUAGAACUGUUAUUGAUACUGGUUUUCUUGAAUAUAGUUGAGGUAGGCGGAAUGUGUAAUGUAGCGGUGAAAUGCUUAGAUAUUACACAGAACACCGAUUGCGAAGGCAGCUUACUAAGCUAUGAUUGACGCUGAGGCACGAAAGCGUGGGGAGCGAACAGGAUUAGAUACCCUGGUAGUCC
rnacentral:rRNA from 1 species